rnacentral:ncRNA from 1 species
UACAGGGGAGUCGGUAAACUGGCUGAGAGUAAGCAAAAAAAGAGCUUAGACCCUUAUAACCUGAUUUGGAUAAUGCCAACGGAGGGAAACUUAUUU